rnacentral:rRNA from 1 species
UACGUAGGUCCCGAGCGUUGUCCGGAAUUACUGGGUGUAAAGGGUGCGCAGGCGGUUUUGUGCGUCAGAAGUGAAAUAUCACGGCUCAACCGUGAGGGUGCUUUUGAUACUGCAAGACUUGAGUACGGGAGAGGAUGAUAGAAUUCCUGGUGUAGCGGUGAAAUGCGUAGAUAUCAGGAGGAACACCCGUAGCGAAGGCGGCACUCUGGGCCGAUACUGACGCUGAGGAGCGAAAGCGUGGGGAGCGAACAGG